GACGGGGGGGGGGCAAGUGUUCGUCGGAAUGACUGGGCGUAAAGCGCACGUAGGCGGCUUUGCAAGUCAGAGGUGAAAGCCCGGGGCUCAACCCCGGAAUUGCCUUUGAGACUGCAUCGCUAGAAUUGUGGAGAGGUAAGUGGAAUUCCGAGUGUAGAGGUGAAAUUCGUAGAUAUUCGGAAGAACACCAGUGGCGAAGGCGACUUACUGGACACAUAUUGACGCUGAGGUGCGAAAGCGUGGGGAGCAAACAGG
rnacentral:rRNA from 1 species